rnacentral:snoRNA from 1 species
ACCCUUUUGUAGUUCAUGAGCGUGAUGACUGGGUGUUCACGUGGUUGUGCGAUCAUGUGCCUCCCUCAAUCCUUGCUACGACAUCAGAACAUUACCCGUCUGAUG